UACGUAGGGUGCAAGCGUUGUCCGGAAUUAUUGGGCGUAAAGAGCUCGUAGGCGGUUCGUCACGUCGGCUGUGAAAACCUGAGGCUCAACCUCAGGCCUGCAGUCGAUACGGGCGGACUUGAGUACUGCAGGGGAGACUGGAAUUCCUGGUGUAGCGGUGAAAUGCGCAGAUAUCAAGAGGAAUACCUGAGGUGAAGACGGGUUGCUAGGCCGACACUGACGCUGAGGCGCGAAAGCCAGGGGAGCAAACGGG
rnacentral:rRNA from 1 species